GACGAACGCUGGCGGCGUGCUUAACACAUGCAAGUCGAACGGAAAGGCCCUGCUUUUGUGGGGUGCUCGAGUGGCGAACGGGUGAGUAACACGUGAGUAACCUGCCCUUGACUUUGGGAUAACUUCAGGAAACUGGGGCUAAUACCGGAUAGGAGCUCCUGCUGCAUGGUGGGGGUUGGAAAGUUUCGGCGGUUGGGGAUGGAAUCGCGGCUUAUCAGCUUGUUGGGGGGGUAGUGGCUUACCAAGGCUUUGACGGGUAGCCGGCCUGAGAGGGUGACCGGCCACAUUGGGACUGAGAUACGGCCCAGACGCCUACGGGAGGCAGCAGUGGGGAAUAUUGCACAAUGGGCGGAAGCCUGAUGCAGCAACGCCGCGUGCGGGAUGACGGCCUUCGGGUUGUAAACCGCUUUCGCCGGUGACGAAGCGUGAGUGACGGUAAUGGGUAAAGAAGCACCGGCUAACUACGUG
rnacentral:rRNA from 1 species